rnacentral:rRNA from 1 species
UACGGAGGGAGCUAGCGUUGUUCGGAAUUACUGGGCGUAAAGGGCGCGUAGGCGGUUGUGUAAGUCAGAUGUGAAAACCAUCGGCUCAACCGAUCGGCAUGCAUUUGAUACUGCACGACUUGAGUUCAGUAGAGGAGAGCGGAAUUCCCAGUGUAGCGGUGGAAUGCGUAGAUAUUGGGAAGAACACCAGUGGCGAAGGCGGCUCUCUGGACUGAUACUGACGCUGAUGCGCGAAAGCUAGGGGAGCGAACAGG